UGCUCGAAACAGCUGAAAAUACGUUUAGAGUGAAUAGCAACAAGCUUCUGUGCAAUGAAGUUACGAUUGGUCAACUUGUGUCCAUCACUAAUGACAAUGUGCAAGCUGUAAAUUGUUUUCCACCUUGCCACAACUUUCAGGAGAAGUUCCUCAGAGCAUUUUUUUAAAACCAGAAUUAACAUUCUUCUGCGUAAAGAGAAUAUGCGUUUGGCAGCUGAUGAAGCUAAAGAUACAAAAACUGGUAGUCGUAGCAUUGGAAAGCAGGCUGCUAUAACCAAUGUAAAAUAGUGUGUAUGCCUCAUUUCUUUCGUGUUUUCCUUCCGUUUUUCUAUGAUGCAUAUGUGGUAUGGCCUCUUAACCUUGUCAGUAGGUACAGUACUCACGGAUUGAAAUGCAGGAAUAAUGGUCUCCGUAACGCACAUACUUUUGUUGACACUGCCUUAAGUUCGGGUCAUAUUGGCGUAAUUUCGACUAGAACGUGUACAUCGGAACCAAAAUUAUUCUUAGAGGCUAUAUUUAUCACGACAUGACGUGGUUAUUUCGAGCAGGUGUGCAUACCAGUUAUCCUCAAAAAAUUGAUGUUGCGUUUGAAUCACCAAGUACCGUACAUAAGGAACUGCAGUGUUUUGUCCUACUGUGAUUUCAUUUCAACAGUAAUUACUUAUAUUUGAUCCGUACAGUUCAGAGCAGAUGUUUUCAGUUGCCGUCAUAAUGUCAUUGGAAUUGCUAACACGUUUGCCCUGUUUGUUUUAGUGUGUACAAUUUGGUGCUUUAUAAGAAGUUUCCUUUAAAAUUAAGUAGCUUGGAUGGUGUCUCGAUCUCAUUUACGUUGGAAUUAUGUGUGACUAGAGUUUUUGAUGAAAAGCUUUGUUAACUUAGCUAAGCCUAUUUUAAAUAUUGUGUGUCAAGUGUUCCUGUUUUUCAUUACGUUUAUCGCCACUCGGGAAAUUUCGCUUACUUUCUGCCUUCGUGGUUUACCGCCUUAAAUUUCUGCUUCAGAUGUCAGUGUAGUAAUG
rnacentral:lncRNA from 1 species